ACUAUUGUUGACCUAUGACUUCAGAGGUCAAUAUGAGAUACACACGGCUUCCUUAUAGAGUGGGAUGUAGGUGGACACAUCACCAGCGGUGUAUGUACAUAAAGGGUGCUGGUGGUACAGCCAUUUUGGAAGAAGUACCAUGAAGCCGGUCACAGUUGUAGCCUUUGUUCUGGUGUUCUAUGUGGUGGGUGGAUAUUGCCGUGGGUAUAAAAACCAAUAUGGCAGAUACGGAAACAGCAUGUACGGUUCAGGCUAUAAUGGCGGUCGUGGUUACGGAAAUGGCCAAGUUUACGGUUUCCAACAGACGGGUAUAGACAUGCCUCCAGUCCCUCCACCAUCUACAGCUUACAGAGACCUGAUCCUCAUAGUCAUGGCCAUAGGUCUUCUACCUUUACUGGCGACAAAUGCUUUCGGCUAGACAUUGAAAACAACCAAAUAAACUAAAGUACAACACUUGGUCUUUAAUAUUCCUAUGCAAGCAAGAACGACACGGAGAGGGGAUCCAAACCUUAUUGUAAUUUAAUUGAUAAUGGCAAGACAAUAAAAUCGUUUGAAGAUUAA